AGAAUAUAAGAACCCGUCUCUUAAUUUUUAAUUAAAAAAAACUAAGAACCGACUCUUAAAUAAGAGUUUUAAGAACCGGUUCUUAACUUUUUUUAGUUAAAAGUUAAGAGAUGGGUUCUUAUAUUCC
rfam:Brassica oleracea var. oleracea cultivar TO1000 chromosome C8, whole genome shotgun sequence